rnacentral:rRNA from 1 species
CGUAUCCAACCUGCCGAUGACUCGGGGAUAGCCUUUCGAAAGAAAGAUUAAUACCCGAUGGCAUAGUUCUUCCGCAUGGUGGAACUAUUAAAGAAUUUCGGUCAUCGAUGGGGAUGCGUUCCAUUAGGUUGUUGGCGGGGUAACGGCCCACCAAGCCUUCGAUGGAUAGGGGUUCUGAGAGGAAGGUCCCCCACAUUGGAACUGAGACACGGUCCAAACUCCUACGGGAGGCAGCAUG